rnacentral:rRNA from 1 species
GACGAACGCUGGCGGCGUGCCUAAUACAUGCAAGUUGAGCGCUGAAGGUUGGUACUUGUACCAACUGGAUGAGCAGCGAACGGGUGGGUAACGCGUGGGGAAUCUGCCUUUGAGCGGGGGACAACAUUUGGAAACGAAUGCUAAUACCGCAUAAAAACUUUAAACACAAGUUUUAAGUUUGAAAGAUGCAAUUGCAUCACUCAAAGAUGAUCCCGCGUUGUAUUAGCUAGUUGGUGAGGCAAAGGCUCACCAAGGCGAUGAUACAUAGCCGACCUGAGAGGGUGAUCGGCCACAUUGGGACUGAGACACGGCCCAAACUCCUACGGGAGGCAGCAGUAGGGAAUCUUCGGCAAUGGACGAAAGUCUGACCGAGCAACGCCGCGUGAGUGAAGAAGGUUUUCGGAUCGUAAAACUCUGUUGGUAGAGAAGAACGUUGGUGAGAGUGGAAAGCUCAUCAAGUGACGGUAACUACCCAGAAAGGGACGGCUAACUACGUG